rnacentral:tRNA from 1 species
GCCCGGAUGGCGGAACUGGUAGACGCGCCGGACUCAAAAUCCGGUGGUGGCGACAUCGUGUGGGUUCGAUUCCCUCUCCGGGCACCA